UAAGUAAGCGGAGGAUAAGAAACUAAAUAGGAUUCCYUCAGUAAUGGCGAAUGAACAGGGAUAAGCUCAGCAUGGAAAUUGGGGCCUGCGGCCUUGAAUUGUAAUCUGGAGAUGUAUUGCCAACGGAGGCGCAGAUGUAAGCCUCUUGGAAAAGAGCAUCAUCGAGGGUGAGAAUCCCGUUUGUCAUCUGCAGUCCCCCGUGCACGGCAUACCUUCUAAGAGUCACGUUCCUCGGGAUUGGAGCGCAAAGUGGGUGGUAAAUUUCAUCUAAAGCUAAAUAUUGGUUUGAGACCGAUAGCAAACAAGUACCAUGAGGGAAAGGUGAAAAGGACUUUGAAAAGAGAGUUAAAAGUGCCUGAAAUUGUUGAAAGGGAAGCGAAUGGAACCAGUGUGUCGUGGCGAGAUUGUUGCAUGCCAAUGUGAUGAUCUGCUGUUUCAGCGCAAGUGUGGCAGUAGGUUUUGAUCAGGAUGUGUGCAAUGCUUCUUGCCUUGUGUGUCAACUUCAAUUCGCAUUUGAAGAAAACUCCAAGGACAUGGUAACUUGCCUUCGGGUGUGUGAAUGUGUUUGGCUGAAUUCAUAUGUGUAUUGAUCGUUGACUAAAUGGUUCCYUUCG
rnacentral:rRNA from 1 species